rnacentral:rRNA from 1 species
AACGAACGCUGGCGGCAUGCCUAACACAUGCAAGUCGAACGGGAUCCUAGCUUGCUAGGUGAGAGUGGCGGACGGGUGAGUAACACGUGGGAAUCUGCCUUUUGGUUCGGGAUAACCGCGGGAAACUGCGGCUAAUACCGAAUGCCCUCGAGAGAGGAAAGAUUUAUCGCCAGAAGAGGAGCCCGCGUCCGAUUAGGUAGUUGGUGGGGUAAAGGCCUACCAAGCCGACGAUCGGUAGCUGGUCUGAGAGGAUGAUCAGCCACACUGGGACUGAGAUACGGCCCAGACUCCUACGGGAGGCAGCAGUGGGGAAUAUUGGACAAUGGGGGCAACCCUGAUCCAGCAAUGCCGCGUGAGUGAUGAAGGCCUUAGGGUUGUAAAGCUCUUUUGCCAGGAAGAUGAUGACUGUACCUGGAGUAUAAGCCCCGGCUAACUUCGUGCCAGCAGCCGCGGUAAU